ACCUGUUUCCUGCUGUGAUCUGGUGACUAAGGUGAAAUACCGUUGUAUGGUGUACUGAGCAAGACGCAGGUUUUCCAGCCCACGCACCGAGUCGUUCCCUCUCAGCCAGCUGAACUCCACAUCGUUCCCAUCGUAACCCCCUGCCAUCACCACUCCAGCCCUGCGGUUGCAGCCACCCAGUCACCUGAGAGCAUACAGGACUGUGCCAUUGGAGAAGAGGCGGAUGAGCCUGUUGCCCACAGUGACUUCAUGGAGGAAGGACUUCUUGGACUCCACAAUCUCCCUCAGCUCCAGUGCAUGCACUUUUGGACUUUACGUGCUUAACAGACAGGAAGUAAAAGAAAUAGCAAGUGGUGAAAGUUUCUUUCUCAGCCAUGUCUCUGCAGUGGAGGCAAAACCAUGCAGCAGGUCUGCCUCGAUGUGCCCGUGUCGGCUUCAC